rnacentral:rRNA from 1 species
UACGGAGGGGGCGAGCGUUAUUCGGAAUUAUUGGGCGUAAAGGGCGCGUAGGCGGCUUUCUAAGUCAAAGGUGAAAUCCCUCGGUUCAACUGAGGAACUGCCUUUGAAACUGGCAAGCUUGAGGCCGGGAGAGGGUAGCGGAAUUCCCAGUGUAGCGGUGAAAUGCGUAGAUACUGGGAGGAACACCGGUGGCGAAGGCGGCUACCUGGACCGGUACUGACGCUGAGGCGCGAAAGCGUGGGUAGCAAACAGG